CUACGGGAGGCAGCAGUAGGGAAUCUUCCGCAAUGGACGAAAGUCUGACGGAGCAACGCCGCGUGAGUGAUGAAGGUUUUCGGAUCGUAAAACUCUGUUGUUAGGGAAGAACAAGUUGGGUAGUAACUGACCCAACCUUGACGGUACCUAACCAGAAAGCCACGGCUAACUACGUGCCAGCAGCCGCGGUAAUA
rnacentral:rRNA from 1 species